rnacentral:rRNA from 1 species
UACGAGGGAGGGCGAGCGUUGUUCGGAAUUAUUGGGCGUAAAGGGUGCGUAGGCGGUUCCGCAAGUCCUGUGUGAAAUCUUCGGGCUCAACUCGAAGUCUGCACGGGAAACUGCGGGGCUUGAGUGUGGGAGAGGUGAGUGGAAUUCCCGGUGUAGCGGUGAAAUGCGUAGAUAUCGGGGAGGAACACCUGUGGCGAAAGCGGCUCACUGGACCAUAACUGACGCUGAUGCACGAAAGCUGGGGGGAGCAAACAGG